rnacentral:rRNA from 1 species
AUGGCGACGGGGUCCAUGGAGACGGCCCUCAUGAGCGAUCCGACGGCCAAGCUCCCCGACGACCUGCUGGUGGAGAUCAUCUCGCGCGUGCCGUACAAGUCCACCCGCUGCUGCAAGUGCGUCUCCACGCGCUGGCGGGACCUCAUCGCCCAUCCCGACCACCGCGAGAAGCUUCCCCGGUCGACCCUCGCCGGCUUCUUCUACAAAAUCUACGACCUAAAACGCCGUCCACCUGAUUCUCAUGGUUACCUAAGCGUCUCAGGAACUGGAGCACCUGGCGGCAUCCAGUACUUUGGUGAGCUUGAAGACCAUUGUUACUGGGACUCCCUCUCGUUCCUGUCCGAAUACGAGAGCCUUCAAAUCUUGGAUUGCUGCAACGGCCUCCUCCUCUGCCGAGCCCGGAAGUCGACUGACCCAGAGACACUGGAUGACCCCAAGACGCUGGAUUACGUGGUGUGCAAUCCCGCCACCGAGAAAUGGGUAACCGUGCCCGCCACCAAGUGGUCCUGGUUGGUGGACAGUGCUUGCUUAGGAUUCGACCCGGCCGUCUCCGCACACUUCUAUGUGUUCGAGUUGGUACCUGACAUUGCUUGGGUUCCGAGUUGCGCGUUUUUGAGCAGAGUGUUGUAUCUAUGUCCUGAUAAUAAUUCAGUUGCAGCCGUCGACGUGGAAGGAAAUUGUAGGAUCAUUCCUAUUCCUACUUCACAUGAUGCCCCUGACCGUCCUAAUGUCUAUGCAUCACAGGGACAGUUGUAUCUCACAAUUCAGGGUGCUUCUGAACUAUCAAUCUGGGUUCUUGAAGAUUCUAGUAGUGAAAAUUGUUGGACCCUGAAGCUCAAUGUCAGCCACUUGCGACUGUUCGGAAUAGAGUAUUCUAGUUCUGAGCAAUAUUAUGGUGUUAUCUCAGCCCACCCAGAACACGAUGUGAUAUUCAUAAUCAAAGGAUUUAGAUUGUGGUACCGACCAGAGAAGAAAUUAUUUUCAUACGAUAUGGAUUCUGGGGAGCUGUGUUUCAUAUGUGAUCUUCCAUGGAAUUCCACGUGCCCUUAUCUUUCCUAUGUUCCUUUGUUCUCGGAGUCAUUGGCAGAUGGGCACUAA